GGGCUUUUCCCCGCUUCCAGAAGAAACUGUGCAUCUCCUCUGACAAACACCCUAUGCCUUUGCCUGAUGAGGGUUUGUUCCUGAGUUGGCGUUCAGGUGACAGUUAGGUGGAGAUGUCUUGGAUUUGGCAGUCUCCUCGGGUGAACGCAAAAGGACCAGAACAGGAUAGGCCAGUUGGAUGUGGUGGAAAUUGCAUGAAGAGGAAUUGAGUAGGUCUGGAUCGUCAAUAACUUGGUAUGUAAUCCUGGGCGAAUCCCUUUUCCUUGAGAUCACUCUCUCAUCUGGAAUACAUCAGUGGUUUUCAAAUUGUGCUCCAGCAGAACACGGCUGAUCCAGAAGCUAGACCAAGGAACACUGGUGGUCUCUAUACAAUUCACAGAAAACUGAAGUGGAAUAAAAUGUCCCCCCUUUGCUGUCGCUUAGUUAUUUCUAUUUAUUAUAACAUUUCCUGCACUGAAUAGAUUUUUCUGAGCAUACACAACUGUUUCUUCAAUUUGAGAUACCAAUAAACAGC
rnacentral:lncRNA from 1 species